rnacentral:lncRNA from 1 species
GAGAGCGAGAGAGCAAAGCAGAGAGAGUAGAAAGCAGAGCAGAGAAGAGAGUGAGAGAGCAGAGCAGAGCAGAGAGUAGAAAGCAGAGCAGAGCAGAGAAGAAGGUGAGAGAGCAGAGCAGAGCAAAGAGUGAGAGAGCAGAGCAGAGAGUAGAAAGCAGGGCAGAGCAGAGAAGAGAGUGAGAGAGCAGAGCAGAGAAUAG